CAGUCGCCACGGUAACACGUAGGGUGCGAGCGUUAAUCGGAAUUACUGGGCGUAAAGCGUGCGCAGGCGGUUCGUUAAGACAGAUGUGAAAUCCCCGGGCUUAACCUGGGAACUGCAUUUGUGACUGACGGGCUAGAGUAUGGCAGAGGGGGGUAGAAUUCCACGUGUAGCAGUGAAAUGCGUAGAGAUGUGGAGGAAUACCGAUGGCGAAGGCAGCCCCCUGGGCCAAUACUGACGCUCAUGCACGAAAGCGUGGGGAGCAAACAGGAUUAGAUACCCCAGUAGUCCCUGUCUCUUAUAA
rnacentral:rRNA from 1 species